GACGAACGCUGGCGGCGUGCCUAAUACAUGCAAGUCGAGCGCUGAAGGUUGGUACUUGUACCGACUGGGUGAGGAGCGCACGGGUGAGUAACGCGAGUGGAAUCUGCCUUUGUGCGGGGGACAACAUGUGGAAACGAAUGCUAAUACCGCAUAAGAACUUUAUACACGAGGUUGAAGUGUGAAAUAUGCAAGUGCGUGACUGAAAGAUGAUCUCGCGUUGUGUUGGCUGGGUGGUGAGGUAAAGGCUCACCAAGGUGAUGAUACAUAGCCGAACGGAGAGGGUGGUCAGCCACACUGGGACGGUGACCCGGCCCAAACGCCUACAGGAGGGACCAGUAGGGCAUCUUCGGCAAUCGAUGGAAGUCUGUCCGCACAACGCCGCGGGCGUGUAGAAGGUUGUCGGGUCCUAAAAGUCUGUUGGUAGAGAAGAACGCUGGUGCGAGUGGAACGCUCAUCGAGUGACGGUAACUACCCAGAAAGCGACGGCUAACUACGUG
rnacentral:rRNA from 1 species